AACGGUAGUUUCCCAACACUGAUAAAACUCCAUUGUUAUUUUUUCUUUUACUUCUUAUGCUUUUCUUCCUAAUCUCCUCCAGUGAACCUAGCUUUUCUAGUCCUGCCUUUUCAGACUUCCCCCCACCCCCAGCACCCUCUUUAAGGCUAAAGCUCCAUUUAAAAUGGUGUGCAUGUUCCCUGGUUUCAGCUUGAAUCUCAAAGGAAGGAUGAAAAGGAGCUUUCACUGGAGAUUUGAAGUGGCCUUUCAGUCUUGGACACAGCUGUGGGGAUCAGGGUGCUGUUGUAUGGCUCACACUGCGCGUCAGUUAUAAAGAAGACUCUGGCAGGUGUCUCCCCAGGUGGUCUCCCUCACCUGGACAACGUAAACUGACAGCUUAUUUUCACAAAUCUGAACAAGAGGAGACUAGAAAUUGUCCUACUGCCCACCCCCAGACCAAUGCAUACUGGACUUCUUCCUCUACUGUUUAUAUUAUGUAAAGUGCAGAUUUACUGAGUAUAAAACAUACAUAAUUGAGGGUUCCUGUACUCUCUCCUUUGCACAUGCAACAUGUGGAUUCAGUGCACACUAAUCAAAGCCUCACAAGAAUGUAACUACAUUUCUCAUUUUUUCUACCUUUGUUUUUUUCUUUUCUCCUUCUCCUCCAGCCCACUUUUCCCCCUUUAAAUACUGAAGCCCUCAAAACCCUUUUCAGAAAAAGUGCAGGCCACAGAUCCUACUGUGGUGUGUGUCUCUUUUUCCUUCCCCAACAAGAUGCAUUCUCAACCUUAGCAAAAUAAACCUCUGUAUUAAGUGA